rnacentral:rRNA from 1 species
GAUGAACGCUGGCGGCGUGCCUAAUACAUGCAAGUAGAACGCUGAAGGAAGGAGCUUGCUCUUUCCGGAUGAGUUGCGAACGGGUGAGUAACGCGUAGGUAACCUGCCUGGUAGCGGGGGAUAACUAUUGGAAACGAUAGCUAAUACCGCAUAACAGUAGAUGUUGCAUGACAACUAUUUGAAAGGGGCAAUUGCUCCACUACUGGAUGGACCUGCGUUGUAUUAGCUAGUUGGUGAGGUAACGGCUCACCAAGGCGACGAUACAUAGCCGACCUGAGAGGGGGAGCGGCGACACUGGGACGGAGACGCGGCCCAGACUCCUACAGGAGGCAGCAGUAGGGAAUCUUCGGCAAUGGACGGAAGUCUGACCGAGCAACGCCGCGUGAGUGAAGAAUGUUUUCGGAUCGUAAAGCUCUGUUGUAAAAGAAGAACGAGUGUGAGAGUGGAAAGUUCACACUGUGACGGUAUCUUACCAGAAAGGGACGGCUAACUACGUG